GAUGAACGCUAGCGGCAGGCUUAACACAUGCAAGUCGAGGGGCAGCACGUCUUCGGAUGGUGGCGACCGGCGCACGGGUGCGUAACGCGUAUACAAUCUACCUUUUACAGGGGCAUAGCCCGGGGAAACCCGGAUUAAUAUCCCAUGGUAUCAAGACAUGGCAUCAUGAUUUGAUUAAAGUUUCGGCGGUAAAAGAUGAGUAUGCGUCCUAUUAGCUAGAUGGUAAGGUAACGGCUUACCAUGGAUACGAUAGGUAGGGGUCCUGAGAGGGAGAUCCCCCACACUGGUACUGAGACACGGACCAGACUCCUACGGGAGGCAGCAGUGAGGAAUAUUGGACAAUGGGCGAGAGCCUGAUCCAGCCAUGCCGCGUGCAGGAAGACUGCCCUAUGGGUUGUAAACUGCUUUUAUACGGGAAGAAACACCUCCACGCGUGGAGGCUUGACGGUACCGUAUGAAUAAGGAUCGGCUAACUCCGUGCCAGCCGCCGCGGUAA
rnacentral:rRNA from 1 species